UGGGGAAUAUUGCGCAAUGGGCGAAAGCCUGACGCAGCGACGCAGCGUGAGGGACGAAGGCCUUCGGGUUGUAAACCUCUUUCAGCGGGGACGAAGCGAAAGUGACGGUACCCGCAGAAGAAGCACCGGCUAACUACGUGCCAGCAGCCGCGGUAAUACGUAGGGUGCAAGCAUUGUCCGGAUUUAUUGGGCGUAAAGAGCUCGUAGGCGGCUUGUCACGUCGGGUGUGAAAACUCGGGGCUUAACCCCGAGCCUGCACUCGAUACGGGCUAGCUAGAGUGUUGCAGGGGAGACUGGAAUUCCUGGUGUAGCGGUGAAAUGCGCAGAUAUCAGGAGGAACACCGGUGGCGAAGGCGGGUCUCUGGGCAACUACUGACGCUGAGGAGCGAAAGCGUGGGGAGCGAACA
rnacentral:rRNA from 1 species